rnacentral:rRNA from 1 species
GAUGAACGCUGGCGGCGUGCCUAAUACAUGCAAGUCGAGCGAAUGGAUUAAGAGCUUGCUCUUAUGAAGUUAGCGGCGGACGGGUGAGUAACACGUGGGUAACCUGCCCAUAAGACUGGGAUAACUCCGGGAAACCGGGGCUAAUACCGGAUAACAUUUUGAACCGCAUGGUUCGAAAUUGAAAGGCGGCUUCGGCUGUCACUUAUGGAUGGACCCGCCUCGCAUUAGCUAGUUGGUGAGGUAACGGCUCACCAAGGCAACGAUGCGUAGCCGACCUGAGAGGGUGAUCGGCCACACGGGGACUGAGACACGGCCCAGACUCCUACGGGAGGCAGCAGUAGGGAAUCUUCCGCAAUGGACGAAAGUCUGACGGAGCAACGCCGCGUGAGUGAUGAAGGCUUUCGGGUCGUAAAACUCUGUUGUUAGGGAAGAACAAGUGCUAGUUGAAUAAGCUGGCGCCUUGACGGUACCUAACCAGAAAGCCACGGCUAACUACGUGCCAGCAGCCGCAGUAA